rnacentral:tRNA from 1 species
GGAGAAAUGGCUGAGUGGCUGAAAGCGCCGGUUUGCUAAAUCUGUAUAUAUGUUAUAUAUAUCGUGGGUUCGAAUCCCACUUUCUCCG